rnacentral:rRNA from 2 species
UUAAAGUUGUUGCAGUUAAAAAGCUCGUAGUUGAACCUUGGGCCUGGCUGGCCGGUCCGCCUCACCGCGUGUACUGGUCCGGCCGGGCCUUUCCUUCUGGGGAACCUCAUGCCCUUCACUGGGCGUGUUGGGGAACCAGGACUUUUACUUUGAAAAAAUUAGAGUGUUCAAAGCAGGCCUUUGCUCGAAUACAUUAGCAUGGAAUAAUA